CCUACGGGUGGCUGCAGUGGGGAAUAUUGGGCAAUGGGCGCAAGCCUGACCCAGCAACGCCGCGUGAAGGAAGAAGGCUUUCGGGUUGUAAACUUCUUUUCUCAGGGACGAAGCAAGUGACGGUACCUGAGGAAUAAGCCACGGCUAACUACGUGCCAGCAGCCGCGGUAAUCCGUAGGGUGCAAGCGUUCUCCGGAUUUACUGGGUGUAAAGGGCGUGUAGGCGGGAAAGCAAGUCAGAUGUGAAAACCAUGGGCUCAACCCGUGAACUGCAUUUGAAACUGUUGCCCUUGAGUGUCGGAGAGGUAAUCGGAAUGCCUGGUGUAGCGGUGAAAUGCGUAGAUAUAAGGAAGAACACCAGUGGCGAAGGCGGAUUACUGGACGAUAACUGACGGUGAGGCGCGAAAGCGUGGGGAGCAAACAGGAUUAGAUACCCGGGUAGUC
rnacentral:rRNA from 1 species